UGGGGAAUAUUGCACAAUGGGCGCAAGCCUGAUGCAGCCAUGCCGCGUGUGUGAAGAAGGCCUUCGGGUUGUAAAGCACUUUCAGCGAGGAGGAAGGUGGUGGACUUAAUACGUUCAUCAAUUGACGUUACUCGCAGAAGAAGCACCGGCUAACUCCGUGCCAGCAGCCGCGGUAAUACGGAGGGUGCAAGCGUUAAUCGGAAUUACUGGGCGUAAAGCGCACGCAGGCGGUUUGUUAAGUCAGAUGUGAAAUCCCCGGGCUCAACCUGGGAACUGCAUUUGAAACUGGCAAGCUAGAGUCUCGCAGAGGGGGGCUAGAAUUCCAGGUGUAGCGGUGAAAUGCGUAGAGAUCUGGAGGAAUACCGGUGGCGAAGGCGGCCCCCUGGACGAAGACUGACGCUCAGGUGCGAAAGCGUGGGGCAGCAAACAGGAUUAGAUACCCUGGUAGUCCACGCUGUAAACGAUGUCGAUUUGGAGGUUGUGCCCUUGAGGCGUGGCUUCCGGAGCUAACGCGUUAAAUCGACCGCCUGGGGAGUACGGCCGCAAGGUUAAAACUUAAAGGAAUUGACGGGGUCAU
rnacentral:rRNA from 1 species